GCUGUCUUGGUGUAACGGUAGCACACUCGGGUUCGAGAGGUCCAGGUUCGAGUCCCGGCGGAAGCA
rnacentral:tRNA from 1 species